rnacentral:rRNA from 1 species
UGGGGAAUAUUGCACAAUGGGCGCAAGCCUGAUGCAGCCAUGCCGCGUGUGUGAAGAAGGCCUUCGGGUUGUAAAGCACUUUCAGCGGGGAGGAAGGCGGUGAGGUUAAUAACCUCACCGAUUGACGUUACCCGCAGAAGAAGCACCGGCUAACUCCGUGCCAGCAGCCGCGGUAAUACGGAGGGUGCAAGCGUUAAUCGGAAUUACUGGGCGUAAAGCGCACGCAGGCGGUCUGUCAAGUCGGAUGUGAAAUCCCCGGGCUCAACCUGGGAACUGCAUUCGAAACUGGCAGGCUAGAGUCUUGUAGAGGGGGGUAGAAUUCCAGGUGUAGCGGUGAAAUGCGUAGAGAUCUGGAGGAAUACCGGUGGCGAAUGCGGCCCCCUGGACAAAGACUGACGCUCAGGUGCGAAAGCGUGGGGAGCAAACAGG